GAAUUGCCUCUCUCAUCUGUUGAAGAGUACUUGGAAUAGUCAAUCACAUUCAUAAAACGGACCGGUAGCUCUUUACAUUAAUGUAAUGUAAUUACGCGCUCUGUCACCGUGACUCGGACAGUGCAUCUUUUUUCUCCAUUGAAGCCUUGCAAUUUUAUAUUUGAUUACCACUGAAGCAUAGAAAUGGAUUUCUAUAGUUCCACCGAUCCUUAUGGUAUGUCAAAUGCCAAUUGCUAUGCUAUUGAUGCCAUCAGAGACCAUUUUUAUGUACAAUUGUAACUUGAUGGAGGCUCAGGGUGUAUGUAGAGUACUUCGAUUCACUAUUUUUUCAUAUAGGAUUUAAUCACCUUUCUUAAUUCCUACACACUCAAAACCCCAUAUUUGAUUUCGGACUCUACGGUCAUUUAUUCCUUUCUAAUAGGUUAUCGUUACAAUCAUCCAAUACAACAUUGCCCGAUUCUAAUAAACUCGUAGAAAUGUGAUACAACAUUUUUUGAAAUUCAAUAAGCUUCAAACAUUGAAUAUUAACACUUUCCAUUCUGUUUUAUAGAAUUCUUUUAAUCGAAUUAGGAAGUGUCUCUUUGUCAAAGAACUGCGGGGGAUGGGAUAGCAUCUCUGAAGGAUAAGGAAUUGUCCUUUCGAUAAAUGAUGGACACGGCACAAAACAUCGUACAAGGUAGUCGAACCCUUCAAUGUUAGCAUACGGUUAGUGAUUUCUUUCAGUUCGUAAUAUGCUGAAGCUAUGCCACGCAAAGGACCUGGUCGCAGGUUUAAUUUUCCGAUUUUAGGAAGGUGAUGUGAAUCAUAGUUCAGUACCAGACGGUGUUUUGGUUAAUGGCUUGGUGUUAGUGUAAAUUUUGCGGCUUAAGAACUCUUUCCUCUUUGCAGAGAUCUUAAACACAUUCCCAUGCCGCUUAUACAGCAGCUAAAUUUGAGGUCGCGUUACAUAUAGGAAUUAUUAUAGUUUCCAAAUAUUUCUGUACGUCCGAUGGUUAUGGGUUAGAAUCCAUGCUGCAAGGUUGUGGAACCACCUUGGUGUAAGACUGUACCUGACUCCCAUGUCGAUUUUUUUUAAUUAGGCUAAUUAGUGGUAAGAAGAACUGUUUGAACUAGAUUUGAAGCCAAUUGUAAAUAUGCUUUAUAGUUUAUAUCCGUAAAGUAAGUUGUUCACUCCCAAAAUCUGGAACGAAUGUACUUGGCGAGCUCCAAUCUCCUCACCUGAGAACAAUGAAAAACAUUGUUACCAUUGUCGGUAGCCGGAACGACGCUCCAAUGCUUAAAUCAGAGAGGUUUGAGACAAUUUGGGAGGAAAGGAAUUGCUCUUAUGUAUGAAGAUGAGGAAAAACCCCGAUUCCUUUUUAUUUACCUGUGCAUGCCCUUGAUUCGAUCCUCCACUACCCAUGGUUCUUCUUGGGUUCCCGAAAGAUGGGGGGAACUGUCCAUGCCGGCAAUUCCCGCGCACAACCGGCUGCGAACUGGCCUAGACGUUGCGCUUCCAGCAUAAAGCUUGCGCUCGGUCCUGAACCAAGGACAACAGUCCUGCCCUGGCACCGGUGCUACUGAGACCCAGGACCAACUUGAUCGGGCCCAAGUCAAUGCUAAGCUCGGCCCAGUCAAAGCUAGUGGACCUGGCCACGUCUCAGCCCAAAAAUAUUGGGCAUCGUGCCUAUAGAUCGGUUUAACCACCGACUCUGGUUACCAAGAAAUUUUGGGUCGUGCUAAGGUCCAUCCAUUUGGGGAAAAACUAUAGAGUUCGCAUCAUGAAAUACUGGGCCUAAUUCACUUGUCUGGAACUCAUCCCACUACAAAAUUCAGCUUUAUAAAGUGGAUGCAUCCAUGGAGCCAUCUUUUUUUUUAUGUGAAUCAUAAAAGAUAACCAAAUUUGAGCAUAUUUUUAAACUCGUAAAGUUUUUCAAGUUAAUCUUAAAACACCCAACUUCAAAAACUCUACUGAAAUUUUUACUGAACUGUCCUCAGAGGCUAGGGUGGGACGUUCAAAUUUCACCAACUCCGUCUAAAGACUACGCAAUAGUACACGAUAAUUGUAUAUUUAUUUUAGAGUACUGGCACCUGAUCGAUGCCACUUAAUAUGGGUUUUCAAUUAGUAUUAGUAUUAUAUUUUUGGGUAAAUUUCUCUGACACUCUUGGAUUCUGUUUUGAUCACCCUUUUACUCCUCUAAAGUCACGCUGCACUCCCUUGCCUUUUUAUUUUACGUAACUGUUUAGCCUAAUUUUUAAUUUUCCACAAAAAUAUUUAAGCAAAUGUCUAUUUUGCCCUGCUUGUCUUUACAAAUAAAAAACAUCAUAACUCCCACUACUUUAUUUGAAUCUUACUUUCAUUUCUACUGAAAUUCACCACUACCACCACCUCUACCAUUCCACUUAAACUCCACCUCUCACCACUACCACCACCUCUACCAUUCCACUUAAACUCCACCUCCCAUGAUAAUGAAACUCACACCUCCACCGCCACAAGAGUUGUAAAAAGACUACAAUUCACGGUGAUUGUGACGAUACAAGGUGAAAGUUUAAAAGUAGGUUGGGAUAAUGUGAAGUUGAGUGGCGAAGGUGGAAGCGUUGAGAAGCACCAUUUAAUUGAAGGUUGGUUGUAGUGGGAGUUGAGGUGAAAGUGAUGGUUUUUUCCUUUUAUUUUCUCUUCCUUUUUCUUUUGAAAAUUGAUAAUAAAACAAGGGUAUUAUAGUAACUCUACCCUUAGAUCAAAUGGUAUUACUGUGGGUGUCAGUGUUAAUUUUUUUAAAAAAAUAGAGAGGGUGCAACUGUUAUUUCUGACUAAUUCAGGGUGGUUUCCAUGAAAUUUUCCCAUUUAAUUUUUUUUUCCAUUGAUUUCUACCAACAAAAACCACAAAGCAUUGGACCAUAGAGCCACAAUUUCCCUCUCACAACAUGCCAGCAGCCUUCCAAUUCACCUGCCAAAAGUCUCGUUUUCUAUAUAAAUAAAAUAAUAAAGCUUUUCUCCAAGGGAACAAAUGAUAUUUUGUCUCUAAUUUUCUAGCAUUCUUGACCUAAGGACAAAAAAUAAAAAAUAAAAAAUAAAAAAUAAAAAAUUAAAAUUUACUAAGAGAAAAUAAUAAUUUAUUUACAAAUUUAAUUUAAUUUAUUUUUUCAAACAAAAAAGUAUAAAAACUUAAUUAAACUAUAAAAAUAUUUCAUUAAAGAUGAAAAUACUCAUAAAUCAAAGUAACCAAAACCUAGUUUGACAUAGAUUUUUUUUUAGAUUUAAAUCACAACUUAUUUUCAAUCUCAAAUUUAUCUCUCGUUAUUUACGGUUGAAAUCCAUUUGAAUUAAUCCAACGGCUGAGAUUUCGCUUGAGAUUAUUUUUUUUCUCUCAAAACUAUCACUUUCUUCUUCUCAAAGGUGUGGAACACACAAAGAUCUUAUUCAAUGGACAAAAACUUUAAAGAUGGGCAUAUUUUUACCGAUUGAGAUCAUUUUUUGUGGACCCUAUAACAAAAAAAUUUGUUUUUUUUAAAAAACCACCUUUCGUUUUCUCUCAUUUUCGUUUUUUGUCUUUCCUCCUUUUUUUUUGCUCUUUGCUCCCUUUUUCUCUUCUUUUCGUUCUUUUGCCACUAAGAGUGUACCCACAUAAAAAUUUAUUUAAUUUACAAGAUAACAUACAUAUUUUCUUUUUCUUUUUAGUAAAUUUUUUUCUUAAAUAGCAUCAUUUUUUAUAUGUUUUCCUGUCCUUUUUUCUUCCGAACCAAUUAACACUAUUAAUUAAUCAAUGAAAAAUUCAUACAGAUAAUAAAAUAUAAAAAAUAAAAUAAUAAAAAUUACUUAAAUAAAAAUGGAAUUAUUUCAUCACGUCUAUUUUUUUAAUUAAUUUUUUAUAUAUUUGUUUAAAACUAAUUUAUUCAAUGUUUAAUAAAAAUAUUUGAGUUAAAAUAAAUAUUUAAAUAAAAUUAUCAUAAUAAGAAAACAAAUAUAAAAUUUUAAUUAGUACACCUAAAAUGUAGUCUUUUUUUGUUUUUUAUAUAGUGCCCGUGAGCACGGACAAUUACUAAUUUACAAUAUAAAUCAUAACUUAGUUUGAAUCUCAAAUCUAUCUUUCGCCAUUUUACAGUUGAAAUCUAUUUGAGUUAAUCGAACUGCUGAGAUUUUACCUAAAAUUAUAUUUUUUCGCUUAAAAAUAUUAUUUUUUUAUUCAAUAAUUAAAAUUAAUUUUACUUUAAACACACGAUCAAGAUUACUUCCUUCUUCCAUCUCUCUAUCUCUCACGGCAACAUAAGUAUCAUCAUAGCAGUACACGCAGCAAUCACAUCAUAUCAACCACUUGUAGGAAACCUACUGGUACCUCAGCCUACCUACUGCAAACUAACAUGCCACCCUCUCUCUCUCUCUCCCUCACACGCCACUCUCUCUCACACACAAAACCCCUCGAAUCUGGGGUCUACAUAAGUUAAAAUUUAAUAACAAUUUUUUUUUUUAAAUUAUGCAUAUUUUUUAUUAAUUGAAAUAUUUUUUUAGUAGGAUACAUAUCAAAAAAAAUUAAAACACAUAUUUUUUUUCUCUUUAUUUCUCUUAAACUAACAAUAUUUUUUUAAAAUUAUUAUAUUUUUUAAUUUGUUCUUUAUUUUGUAGCAUUAUAUCUCUUUCGUAUAUGCAUAUAAUGUAUAUCUUAUUUGACGUUUAUACCUCUAUUUAGGUUGUAAAAUUUUAAUGAGUACACCUAAUUUUUUUUUUUGCGUAGUGCCCGUGGACACGGGCAAAUACUAGUAUAAUAUAAAUCACAACUUAUUUUGAAUCUCAAAACUAUUUUUUCACUUUCUACAGUGGGAAUCCAUUUGAGUUAAUCCAGCGGUUGAGAUUUCACCUGAGAUUAUUUUUUUUCUCCCAAAAAUAUCGCUUUUUUCUCGCUUACUUCUACUCAAAUGUGUGUAACCCACAUAGGUUCUUAUUCAAUAGACAAAAAAUCUCCAAAUCUAUACAUAUGUUUUACCCAUUGAAUCAUUUUUUAGUGAGACCUACACCCCUGUUUUUU
rnacentral:lncRNA from 1 species